AACGAACGCUGGCGGCAGGCUUAACACAUGCAAGUCGAGCGCCCCGCAAGGGGAGCGGCAGACGGGUGAGUAACGCGUGGGAACAUACCCUUUCCUGCGGAAUAGCUCUGGGAAACUGGAAUUAAUACCGCAUACGCCCUACGGGGGAAAGAUUUAUCGGGGAAGGAUUGGCCCGCGUUGGAUUAGCUAGUUGGUGGGGUAAAGGCCUACCAAGGGGACCAUCCAUAGCUGGUCUGAGAGGAUGAUCAGCCACAUUGGGACUGAGACACGGCCCAAACUCCUACGGGAGGCAGCAGUGGGGAAUAUUGGACAAUGGGCGCAAGCCUGAUCCAGCCAUGCCGCGUGAGUGAUGAAGGCCUUAGGGUUGUAAAGCUCUUUCACCGAUGAAGAUAAUGACGGUAGUCGGAGAAGAAGCCCCGGCUAACUUCGUGCCAGCCGCCGCCGUAAAAC
rnacentral:rRNA from 1 species